CUCCACUUUCUGGAAUGCUAAGUGGAAAAGAGGCAUUCUUCCAGCAUGAAAUCCAGUGCAUACCAGAAGUUCUGUACCAAAUGCUUCAAGGAUAAAAACUUCAUGUAAUUGCUGUGGGAUUCAGGACUGCUGCACUCUCAUUCGUCUGACUUUUCAACAAGGUAAUCUGAAUGCUUAAACUACGAUGAGAAGACAGUAUCUGGAA